UACGGAGGGUGCAAACGUUGCUCGGAAUCAUUGGGCGUAAAGCGCACGUAGGCGGUACGUUAAGUCGGGUGUGAAAGCCCCGGGCUCAACCCGGGAAGUGCAUUCGAAACUGGCGCACUUGAGUAUGGAAGAGGGUCUCGGAAUUCCCGGUGUAGAGGUGAAAUUCGUAGAUAUCGGGAGGAACACCAGUGGCGAAGGCGGAGACCUGGGCCAAUACUGACGCUGAGGUGCGAAAGCGUGGGGAGCAAACAGG
rnacentral:rRNA from 1 species